AAGGGCGGGAUGGGCGAGCUGAGCUGCGCGGGCUGGCCGCCUUUUUUUUUUUUUUUUUUUUUUUUCCCGGGCUUUUUUUCUCCUGCCCUUUCUUCCUCCUCCUCCUCCUCCUGCCUCCUCCCUUUUAUUUCUUUUCCUCCCUUCUUCCUCUUAACGCGUGGAUGUGCUCGGUUUCUGGCGCCUGCGAUUCUUUCGGCAUUAAAGCGGCUUGAAAACGCGCGGCGAUUAAAAAUGAAGAAUUUUAAGCCGCGGAAUUGGGACACGGUAUUAAUAUUCCGCAGCAUUACCUCACUUUGAACUCGUUGAAACUGUAUAAAACCGUUAAUUUUCUGCUAGAAUCAUAAUCUUACUGUUAAGGGAACAUUCCAUAUAGCUGCAUUUACCUGAAUCAGUGUUUCUUGGUGUCCUCUGGAACAUAAAGCAGACGGCGGUGACGCUGGGAGGUGAUCGACCCCACGAGGAUUCGUCCAGAAGUCAUGGUUGGCACUGGAAUGAGUCUGGGCUUGGAGCAGUGCUGAGAGGGCUUGGGGAGAGGAUUGUAGUGGAGCUCCAUCCCCAUUCCACUCCUAGCAGCUCUCUGGCCAUCCACCUCCAUUUUUGCCAGCCGCAAUGGACAAGAACCUUGCCAAACGCCCCAGGCCUCCGUCGAACUCGUUUAGGGAGAGGCAGGUGUGGCUGGAUGAGCUAGGAAAAAUACCGGAGCAGAGCUGAGGCGGCUGUGAUGCCAGCACUGCUCCCGUACUGCUUCCUGCUAUGGCCACCCUCCUCCAACUCCAUCCCUUGCUCUGCUUCCUCCCGGUCUGCCUGCAGGUCUUCCUAAUAAAUCAGGAUGUAUUUUGCAAAGCCAGAAUGGAGGAAGCAGAAGGGGUUGUUAAGCACUUUGUGGGGAAGUGGGGAGGAAUCUUUUUCUGUUCUAAACAAUGGCUGUGUUAAAACGUUUUCAAAUGUUGAAACCCAAUACUUUAAUUCAGUGAAGCUUCCAGAAAUACUCCAGCAGAGAUGGGAUUGCAUGAUAAUGAGUUUGAAUUUGUAUUGUAUCUUCCAUAAAACUUGAAUAGAAAAGUAAAGGAGCCUGUAACGAAUAUUGUAAGAACUAUAAUACAAGUAUUAGUAAAAUUAUACCUGUGAUACCAAUUCCAGAUGCUUGUUUUUACCAUGAUAGUUCCUUUAAAAAAAAAUUAAAUUUCUUUCCGCUAG